UUCCUGUGACAGGUGAGCUUUUGGUCCGGGUUAUACCUGAUGCAUGUGUAUAAGACGAGCAAAAAGCUCGUUGGUCG
ensembl:miRNA mdo-mir-208a mdo-mir-208a